CUGAAAUUGAGUCUGAGUUUGUCCUUCGCGUUAACCUCUGUUUGGUAUGACCUCUACAAAAGCUUUCCGCUUUCAAAUAUUCGACACUAAGCCGUAAGUAGAGUAAACAAAAAGCAUGAAUUGUCCAUUUGAUUUUAUUUGCCUGCACUGCAGCCAGCAAUCACCAAAAAGGUCUUUAAAGGAUUCCUAAAGUAAUAUUGUGAGCACAUUUGCGAUUUGCUUCGCCUAACAACUGAGUUGCUGGUUCCAAUUGUGGUCACCUGAUAAGGACUACAUAACUCUAUGGACAUGUCAUAGUCCACAGGAGCAUAGCAUCCAUUGGAGAAAUAUGGCCAGAACAUCUUUACAAAACAAGCAAGCAAAAAGCUCUACAAUAUUUUCAACUACACCACAGCUUACUGUGUCAGCUCAGCUUUCUAAUAUUAAAGUAGGAUCUCAAAGGAGUUUGGAAAUAAUUUCUAUUCUUAAUUUGCCUUCUUUCUGCUUAUUGACCCUUAAAAAUCUUCUGUAGAUUGAUUGAUUGUUGAGUAAUCCAGAUUAAAAUAGCCAAAUUGUUAUAGGAGUGCAAAUUUGAAUUUGAUUUUAAAUCACACAUUUAUGGAAGAAUUAAGUAGAAUGAUAAUGAGUUUGGUGUACAGAUAGAUCUUCAUUCACAUCGGUAUCAUAUGAAUUGUGGUCAUUACGAUAGAUCUUAAAGUAUUUUUACAAAUAAUGCUUAGUAUAAUGUGCCUUGUUCCUAUGCACAUUACAGAAUAGAGAAAGAGGAAUUGCAAAAUUCUUCAUACUUUUUAUAAUUCCUGGUUGUACGUUAAUACAAGCAGAUACAAGUAGUCCUUUACUUAUGACCACCAUUUAGUCUGGAAUUUUGGUUAUACAUCAUUGCAGCUGUAAGACAAAUCACCAUGUCAAUGUACUUGACUUUACAACCAUUUUAAGUGAGUCAUUGUGGUUGUUAAGCAAAUUGUGGUUGUAAGUCCUAAUCCAUCUUAUAAAAUGGAUGGUUUUUUGCUGGAAAAUGGCAAAAAAUAUUGCAAAAUGCAGUCAUGUGACUAUGGGAUGCUGCAACCGGAUGUAAAUGCAAGCCAGUUGCCAAGCAUCUGAACACAACUACAUCACUAUGUGUGUAUGAUGUGGCAGUUAUAACUUUUGAGGACAGGACCUAACUUUUUUUCAAGUUCAGUCAAAGUUACAACACAUUUUCCCAGUACUUAGACUUGGAUUCGAAGACCACACAGACACCUAUUUCAUGAUCAUGCGAUUAUAUUUUGGGUGCUUCGCAACUGGUCCACUUUUAUCACUAUUUGCAGAGUCCUGCAGCUUUUUUUUUUUUUUUUGCCAGAAAUUGGCAUUUGUUUCUGGUUUCCAGUAGACAAUGGAUUCACUUAAAGACAUCGUUCAUUUUACAACCACAGAGUU